rnacentral:rRNA from 1 species
AAAUGAAUAGACGGGGGCCCGCACAAGCAGUGGAGUAUGUGGUUUAAUUCGACGCAACGCGAAGAACCUUACCAGGGCUUGACAUCGUGCGCAUAGUGCAGAGAUGCAUGAAGUCUUCGGACGCACAGACAGGUGGUGCAUGGUUGUCGUCAGCUCGUGUCGUGAGAUGUUGGGUUAAGUCCCGCAACGAGCGCAACCCUUAUCGUUAGUUGCCAGCACGUAAUGGUGGGCACUCUAGCGAGACUGCCGGCGACAAGUCGGAGGAAGGUGGGGAUGACGUCAAAUCAUCAUGCCCCUUAUGUCCUGGGCUACACACGUACUACAAUGGCUGCCAACAAAGGGAAGCGAGACCGCGAGGUGGAGCAAAUCCCCAAAAGCAGUCCCAGUUCGGAUUGCAGGCUGAAACCCGCCUGCAUGAAGUCGGAAUUGCUAGUAAUCGCAGAUCAGCAUGCUGCGGUGAAUACGUUCCCGGGCCUUGUACACACCGCCCGU